GAUGAACGCUGGCGGCGUGCUUAACACAUGCAAGUCGAACGGAAAGGCCCAAGCUUGCUUGGGUACUCGAGUGGCGAACGGGUGAGUAACACGUGGGUGAUCUGCCCUGCACUUCGGGAUAAGCCUGGGAAACUGGGUCUAAUACCGGAUAGGACGAUGGUUUGGAUGCCAUUGUGGAAAGUUUUUUCGGUGUGGGAUGAGCUCGCGGCCUAUCAGCUUGUUGGUGGGGUAAUGGCGUACCAAGGCGUCGACGGGUAGCCGGCCUGAGAGGGUGUACGGCCACAUUGGGGCUGAGAGACGGCCCAGACACCUACGGGGGGCAGCAGUGGGGAAUAUUGCACAAUGGGCGCAAGCCUGAUGCAGCGACGCGGCGUGGGGGAUGACGGCCUUCGGGUUGUAAACUCCUUUCGCUAGGGACGAAGCGUUUUUGUGACGGUACCUGGAGAAGAAGCACCGGCUAACUACGUG
rnacentral:rRNA from 1 species